GCAGUGCUAAGAAGGAUCAGGAGGGAAGACAGCAGGAAUCAUUCAUUCUGCUCGUAGGAAUACAGUCAGGAGGCCGACUUUAAAACUCCGAUCCUCCGGGAAGGCCACGCGGAGCACGGCCCCUAAAUUAUUCCACUGAAUUUUUGAAGCAACUCUAUCAGAAGACCCAAGAGUCCCCACCCGGUGGAUAUCGCCCCUGAGUUUUGGUACGUGAUCAUAGAGAAGAAAAGCCUCCACUCAGGUCUGCGGCUACUGGUAAAAAUUAACGUAAGCAGGGCCUGAAGAGGAUAGUGCUUGACGGGGAUGCGCCAGGGACCUUCUAGAAUCUGCUCCUCUGGGCAACAUUUCUUUCAGUUGUGUUCUCUGCAACAUGGGUGUUUAUCAAAAUGCCAACACGUGCUACAAGAACAAUCAAUGCUAGUGGUAUUUUGUUCCUAAUAAAAUUAACAAUGUCAUUUCCCCUUCA
rnacentral:lncRNA from 1 species